AUGUACAACCUCACAUAGAGUUCCUGACCAGACAAGACUCGCUGGAAAUUUCCCAGGAUCUUCCUUCCUUAAGAGGAAUCAAAAGAAGGAAGAAGAAUAGAAUGAUUUGGAGGAAGAGAAGGAGAAAGUAGAGGAGUUGAAAAAAAGGAAGAAAAGGAAAAAUGCAGAAUCCUUUGUCAAUCCAACAGAAUACAGCAAAAAAGCAAAGAAAGUGAAAGCAUAGAUUUGCUUGUAAGUAGAUAAUGCAUCAUGAGCAUCUUCUCUACUGAUGAAAAUCUUUCGGUGUUGGGAUCUAUUUAUAACUGCAUCAUCACAAACAUGAUCUAAUCAAGAGUCACUCCUUGCAGGAAUGUUCACGUUUCCUUCGUCUCUUAAAAGAUAUCCCUCUAGUACAAAAAUUAGCUCGACGUGGUGGCGGGCAUCUGUAAUCCCAGCUACUCUGGAGGCUGAGGCAGCAGAAUUGCUUGAACUCG
rnacentral:antisense_RNA from 1 species